rnacentral:rRNA from 1 species
GAGUUUGAUCAUGGCUCAGAUUGAACGCUGGCGGCAGGCCUAACACAUGCAAGUCGAACGGUAACAGGAAGCAGCUUGCUGCUUCGCUGACGAGUGGCGGACGGGUGAGUAAUGUCUGGGAAGCUGCCUGAUGGAGGGGGAUAACUACUGGAAACGGUAGCUAAUACCGCAUAAUGUCGCAAGACCAAAGAGGGGGACCUUCGGGCCUCUUGCCAUCGGAUGUGCCCAGAUGGGAUUAGCUUGUUGGUGGGGUAACGGCUCACCAAGGCGACGAUCCCUAGCUGGUCUGAGAGGAUGACCAGCCACACUGGAACUGAGACACGGUCCAGACUCCUACGGGAGGCAGCAGUGGGGAAUAUUGCACAAUGGGCGCAAGCCUGAUGCAGCCAUGCCGCGUGUAUGAAGAAGGCCUUCGGGUUGUAAAGUACUUUCAGCGGGGAGGAAGGGAGUAAAGUUAAUACCUUUGCUCAUUGACGUUACCCGCAGAAGAAGCACCGGCUAACUCCGUGCCAGCAGCCGCGGUAAUACGGAGGGUGCAAGCGUUAAUCGGAAUUACUGGGCGUAAAGCGCACGCAGGCGGUUUGUUAAGUCAGAUGUGAAAUCCCCGGGCUCAACCUGGGAACUGCAUCUGAUACUGGCAAGCUUGAGUCUCGUAGAGGGGGGUAGAAUUCCAGGUGUAGCGGUGAAAUGCGUAGAGAUCUGGAGGAAUACCGGUGGCGAAGGCGGCCCCCUGGACGAAGACUGACGCUCAGGUGCGAAAGCGUGGGGAGCAAACAGGAUUAGAUACCCUGGUAGUCCACGCCGUAAACGAUGUCGACUUGGAGGUUGUGCCCUUGAGGCGUGGCUUCCGGAGCUAACGCGUUAAGUCGACCGCCUGGGGAGUACGGCCGCAAGGUUAAAACUCAAAUGAAUUGACGGGGACCCCACAAGCGGUGGAGCAUGUGGUUUAAUUCGAUGCAACGCGAAGAACCUUACCUGGUCUUGACAUCCACGGAAGUUUUCAGAGAUGAGAAUGUGCCUUCGGGAACCGUGAGACAGGUGCUGCAUGGCUGUCGUCAGCUCGUGUUGUGAAAUGUUGGGUUAAGUCCCGCAACGAGCGCAACCCUUAUCCUUUGUUGCCAGCGGUCCGGCCGGGAACUCAAAGGAGACUGCCAGUGAUAAACUGGAGGAAGGUGGGGAUGACGUCAAGUCAUCAUGGCCCCUUACGACCAGGGCUACACACGUGCUACAAUGGCGCAUACAAAGAGAAGCGACCUCGCGAGAGCAAGCGGACCUCAUAAAGUGCGUCGUAGUCCGGAUUGGAGUCUGCAACUCGACUCCAUGAAGUCGGAAUCGCUAGUAAUCGUGGAUCAGAAUGCCACGGUGAAUACGUUCCCGGGCCUUGUACACACCGCCCGUCACACCAUGGGAGUGGGUUGCAAAAGAAGUAGGUAGCUUAACCUUCGGGAGGGCGCUUACCACUUUGUGAUUCAUGACUGGGGUGAAGUCGAAACAAGGUA